CUCUCUCUCUCUCUCUCUAGUUCUAUUCCACUUGGAGUUGAAGUUAGCAAUUAUGCCAACAUGUUUUGCUAACUAGCUACCAACUCAAAUCAUUUAAUGGUGAUUCGUGAUGGAACCCUAGUUGCAAAAAUUAAUAAAAUUGGCUGCUAUUGAAGAACUUUUUAAAUUAUAAAACUUUAGUCAUUAGCUCGAUAUUAUUAUGGUUAGGAAUUAGGGGAAUGGAAAGUGAGGAUUACUUUCAAGUGGCUGUGUUUCAGAUUACUUGUUAUUUUGUUUGUUACAAUAUAAGAUUUAACUGGCCCUUUGGAGAUUGGUUUAGCAUUUUCUUUGAUUUUUUUUUUUCUUCCUUUUAUUUGUUAGGAAUGCUGUAUAUGUCUCU
rnacentral:misc_RNA from 1 species